rnacentral:rRNA from 1 species
CCCUUAGAUGUUCUGGGCCGCACGCGCGCUACACUGAUGCAUUCAACGAGUCUAAAACCUGGUCUGAUAGGGCUGGGUAAUCUUUUGAAAGUGCAUCGUGAUUGGGAUAGAUGAUUGCAAUUCUUCAUCUUCAACGAGGAAUGCCUAGUAAACGCAAGUCAUCAGCUUGCAUUGAUUACGUCCCUGCCCUUUGUACACACCGCCCGUCGCUCCUACCGAUUGAAUGAUCCGAUGAAUACCAUGGAUUGAGAGUACGAAUGGGUUCGCUCAUUUCUGCUGCUCGAGAAGUGGAGUAAAUCUUNUNAUUUAGNGGAAGGAGAANUCGUANCA